UUUGUCAUUUUGGGUGUGUGUCUUAGAAACCUGCUCUACGAACUGUCAGAAGGCAUUGACUCAGAGAACUUAAAGGACAUGAUCUUCCUUCUGAAAGACUCGCUUCCCAAAACUGAAAUGACCUCCCUAAGUUUCCUGGCAUUUCUAGAGAAACAAGGUAAAAUAGAUGAAGAUAAUCUGACAUGCCUGGAGGACCUCUGCACAACAGUUGUACCUAAACUUUUGAGAAACAUAGAGAAAUACAAAAGAGAGAAAGCUGUCCAGAUAGUGACACCUCCUGUAGACAAGGAAGCCGAGUCGUAUCAAGGAGAGGAAGAACUAGUUUCCCAAACAGACGUUAAGACAUUCUUGGAAGCCUUACCGGUAGGUUCAGUGGUGUGCUGGUCAAUGCUUAACAACCGGCUCCACCCUCCAACCUCCCCUCCCCGCC
rnacentral:sRNA from 1 species